AUUGAACGCUGGCGGCAGGCCUAACACAUGCAAGUCGAACGAGUGGCGGACGGGUGAGUAAUGUCUGGGAAACUGCCCGAUGGAGGGGGAUAACUACUGGAAACGGUAGCUAAUACCGCAUACCAUCGGAUGUGCCCAGAUGGGAUUAGCUAGUAGGUGGGGUAACGGCUCACCUAGGCGACGAUCCCUAUCUGGUCUGAGAGGAUGACAAGCCACACUGGAACUGAGACAAGGUCCAGACUCAUACGGGAGGCAGCAGUGGGGAAUUUUGGACAAUGGGGGAAAGCCUGAGCCAGCCAUCCCGCGUGGGCGUGGAAGGCCUUCGGGUUGUAAAGCACGUUGGGCAGGAAAGCGGUACCGGAAGAAUAAGCACCGGCUAACUACGUGCCAGCAGCCGCGGUAAUAC
rnacentral:rRNA from 1 species